AACGAACGCUGGCGGCAGGCUUAACACAUGCAAGUCGAACGCAUCCUUCGGGGUGAGUGGCAGACGGGUGAGUAACGCGUGGGAACGUGCCCUUCAGUUUGGAAUAACCCAGGGAAACUUGGGCUAAUACCGGAUACGCCCUAACGGGGAAAGAUCUAUCGCUGAAGGAUCGGCCCGCGUCUGAUUAGCUAGUUGGUGAGGUAAAGGCUCACCAAGGCGACGAUCAGUAGCUGGUCUGAGAGGAUGAUCAGCCACACUGGGACUGAGACACGGCCCAGACUCCUACGGGAGGCAGCAGUGGGGAAUAUUGGACAAUGGGCGCAAGCCUGAUCCAGCCAUGCCGCGUGAGUGAUGAAGGCCUUAGGGUUGUAAAGCUCUUUCGGCGGGGACGAUAAUGACGGUACCCGCAGAAGAAGCCCCGGCUAACUUCGUGCCAGCCGCCGCCGUAAAAC
rnacentral:rRNA from 1 species